rnacentral:rRNA from 1 species
GUCCUGGCCCUAAACGGUGUUCACUUGGUGUGCGGGGAGUCGACCCCCUGCGUGCCGCAGCUAACGCGAUAAGUGAACCGCCUGGGGAAGUACGGCCGCAAGGCUAAAACUCAAAGAAAUUGACGGGGGCCCGCACAAGCGGUGGAGCAUGUGGCUUAAUUCGAUGCAACGCGAAGAACCUUACCUGGCCUUGACAUGCUGGUAAGUAGAAGCCGGAAAACGGUGACGACUCCUCGCAAGAGGAGAGCCAGCACAGGUGCUGCAUGGUUGUCGU